GACGAACGCUGGCGGCGUGCUUAACACAUGCAAGUCGACAUGAGUGGCGAACGGGUGAAUACUACGUGGGUAACCUGCCCUCCUUUUUGGGAUAAGCCUUGAAAACGGGGGUUAAUACCGAAUAAAGGGGCAUGGGUGCGCGGCCUAUCAGCUUGUUGGUGGGGGGAUGGCCUACCAAGGCGUUUAGGGGGAGCCGGCUUGAGACGGUGAGCGGCAACAUUGGGACUGAGAUGCGGCCCAGAGGCCUACGGGAGGGGGCAGUGGGGGUGAUUGCACAAUGUGCGAAAGACUGAUGCAGCGUCGCCGCGUGGGGGAUGAAGGCUUUAGGGUGGUAAACCUCUGUCGCUAUCGAACGGGUAGGUGGAGAAGAAGCGCCGGCUAACUACGUGCCAGCCGCCGCGGUAAUAC
rnacentral:rRNA from 1 species